rnacentral:rRNA from 1 species
AGCCAGGGGGCAGCUUACCAUGCAGUCGAGCGCCCCUCCUUGGGAGCGGUUGAAGGAUGUUUCAUUGAAGAGAAUAUACCAAAAAGCUCCGAAUAACUCUUGGAAGCUGGAAGGGAGCCGUAUACGCCCUUCGGGGGAUGGUAUAUCGGAGUUGGAUGAGAAUAACUCUGGUUAACUUGUUGGUGGGGUAAAGGCCUACUUUGGCGGAAAUCUUUAUCUGGUUUGAAAGGAUGAUCGUCUGACUGGGACUCGAGACACGGCCCGGACUCCUUACGGGAGGCAUCAGUGGGGAAUAUUCGGAACAAAGGGCGCCAAGCCUGAUCCACUGAUGCCGCGUGAAGUGAUGAAGGCCCUAAGGGUUGUAAAGCUCUAUCACCCGUGGAAGAUAAUGACUGUUACCUGGAGAACGAACGCCCCGGCUAACUUGCGUGCCAGCAUCCACGGUAAUACCAACGGGGCUAACGUUGUUCGGAAUUACAGGACAUAAACCGCACAUAUGCCGGACCAUUAAGUCAGGGGUGAAAUCCGGGGGCUCAAUCUCCGGAACUGUCUUUGAUACUGGUGGUCUCUAGUUCGAGAGAUGUGAGUGGGAUUACAAGUGUAGACGUGAAACUCGAACAUCUUCUGAGGAACACCAUUGCCGAUUGCGGCUCACUGGCUCGAUACUGACGCUGAGAUGCGAAAUCGUGGGGAGUUAAACAGGAUUACCAUACCCUGGAUAGUCCACCACCGUACACGAUGGAAAGCUAUCAGUUGCCAAGGUUUACCUGUCGGUGGCGCAGCUAACGCAUUAAGCUUCCCCGCCUGGAGGAGUACGGUCGCAAGACUUAAAACUCAAAGGAAUUGACGGGGGCCCCGCCACAAGCGGUGAGAGCAUGUGGUUUAAUUCGAAAGCAACGCCGCAGUAACCUUACCCAGCCCUUUGACAUCUUGGGUCGCGGAAACCGGAGACGGUUUCCUUUCAGUUUAGGCUGGACCCCAAGAACAGGUGCUGCAUGGCUUGUCGUCAGCGUUCUGUGUCGUGAGAUGUUGGGUUAAGUUCCCGUCAACGCAGCGACACCACCACUCGCCCUUAAGUUUGCCAGCAUUUCAGAUUUGGGCGACGUUCUUAAGGGAGACUGCGCGGUGGAUUAAGACCGAGAAAGAGAAGGAUGCGGUGAUGACGUCUAAGUUUCCCCUCAUGGCCCUUACGGGCUGGGCUACACACGUGCUACAAUGGUGGUGACAGUGGGCAGCGAGACCGCGAGGUCGAGCUAAUCUCCAAAAGCCAUCUCAGUUCGGAUUGCACUCUGCAACUCGGGUGCAUGAAGUUGGAAUCGCUAGUAAUCGCGGAUCAGCAUGCCGCGGUGAAUACGUUCCCGGGCCUUGUACACACCGCCCGUCACACCAUGGGAGUUGGGUUUACCCGAAGGCAGUGCGCUAACCGCAAGGAGGCAGCUGACCACGGUAGCUCAGCGACUAGG